rnacentral:lncRNA from 1 species
UUAUACACAUUCGCUCGAUGAGCGGAUCAAAAACUUCACACCAUAAUGCGAAUCCUAUUUCACAAUCCCUUUUGAAGAUAGAAGUUGGAUACAUUUCUCAGAAUGAUAUUCAUGCUGAUAUUAUUCUUGGUUGAUUCUUAUACUGACUCCAGCGACUGACAAAAUCUCAGUCACACUAUAUCUUUAAAUCGAUCCAGGCAACGAGCUUAAUUUGAUGAAUGCGAUGUUUAAGAUCAUCUAAUAGAACCUCAGAUGAC